CCUCGGCUCCUGCUCCAGCGGCAAGAUGUGAUCCACCAGCUAGGAGGGACGCCAAUAAGGCGUCCGAUAAGAUAAGUCUUAUAAAAUAUAUAGAUUUAUGAUGAUUGAUACUGAGCUAACAGAUAAAAAUCCUAGUCAUUGGCCAAGCAACAUUGUAACUAAUACAAGUCUCUCUGUGUAUUCAUUUGGGCCUAACUUGGGCAGGCGGCUGCCAUAAAGCUUACACGUGGCGGUGGGGCUCAGCGGCUUUUGGCAGAAAGAUUUAUCAUAACAGUACAGUUUCUGGUAAAAGCCAGAAACUGGAAGCAGCCUAGAUGCCCCUCUACCAAAGAAUGGAUAGAGAAAAUGUGGUACAUUUACACAAUGUACUACAUAGCAGAAAAAAAAAUUGAAUCUUGAAAUUUGCAGGAAAAUGGAUGGAACUCGAAGAAACCAUUCUGAGCAAGGUAACCCAAUCACAAAAAGACAAACAUGAUAUGUACUCACUCAUAUGUGAAUUUUAGACAUAGAGUAAUGAUUACCAGCCUACAAUCCACACUGCCAGAGAAACUAGUAAACAAGGAGGACCCUAAAAGAGACAAACAUUGUCCCCUGGAGAAGGGUAAAGGGUCACCAUCCCCUGAGCAAAUUGAGAGCACGGGAAGAGUGGGGAGGAAGCUACAAGAAUGAGAAGGGGAGCAGAGAGGGGUGCAGAGGUCAUGAGGGAGCAGAAAGGUUGAGUCAGGUAAAGAAUAGAAGAAAGGAUAUGUGAUAGGUAGGGUUUUAGUUGGGGAGGUGGUAGGGGAGGAAGGGAGGGAGAAGGGAACUGGGAUUGUCAUGUAAAUCAAUCUUGUUUCUAAUUCAAAUAAAAAAGAUAAAAAAAAAUCAUAAAAAGAAAAAAUAAAGUACAUAGGAAUAUGAAAAAAAGUAGUGUACAGAAAUAGACAAUUCUCAACAGAGGAAUCUAAAAUGGCUAAAAGGCACAUAAGAAAGUGUUCAACAUCCUUAGCUAUCAGAGAAAUGCAAAUCAGAACAACUCUGAGAUACAAUCUUACCCCUGUCAGAAUGGCCAAAAUAAAAAACACCAAUGACAGUUUAUGCUGGAGAAGAUAUGGAGAAAGGGAAACAACACUUCUCUACUGCUGUUGGGAGUGCCAUCUUGUACAGCCACUUUGAAAAUCAGUAUGGCGACUCCUCAGGAAAAUGCAAAUCAGUCUACCACAAGAUCCAGGAAUCCCACUCUUAGGCAUAUACCCAAAAGAAACACAUUCAUACAACAAGGACAUCUGUUCAAUGAUGUUCAUAGCAGCAUUAUUUGUAAUACCCAGAACCUGGAAGCAACCUAGAUGCCCCUCAUCUGAAGAAUGGAUAGAGAAAAUGUGGUACAUUUACAAAAUGGAGUACUACUCAGGCAGGGGGGGCGGAACAAUGGAAUAUUGAAAUUUGCAGGAAAAUGGAUGGAACUAUAAGAAAACAUUCUGAGCAAGGUAACCCAAUCAUAAAAAGACAAACAUGGUAUGUUCUCACUCAUAUUUUAGACAUAGAGUAAAGGAUUACCAGCCUACAAUCCACACUGCCAGAGAAGCUAGUAAACAAGGAGGACCCUAAGAGAGACAUACAAGGCCCCCUGGAGAAGGGCAAAGGGACAAGAUCUCCUGAGCAAAUUGGGAGCAAGGGAAGAGGGGGGAGGGAGCUAGGAGAAUGAGAAGGGGAGAAGAGGAGGGAUGAGGAGGACAUGAGGGAGCAGAAAGGUUGAGUCAGGGGAAGAAUAGAAGAAAACAAGAAAUGAGAUACCAUAACAGAGGGAGUCAUUUUAGGUUUACAGAGAAAUCAAGCACUAGGGAUAGGUCUGGAGAUCUACCAAGAUAGCACCAACUAACAAUCUAAGCAACAGAGGAGAGGCUAUGUUAAAUGCCUUCCCCUGUUAAUGAGAUUAAUGACUGUGUUAUAUGCCAUCCUUUAGCUUUCAUCAAGCAGCUUGUAGAAGUAGAAGCAGACACCCACAGCUAAUCACUGAACUGAAUCCAGAUGCAGAGAAGGAUGAGUGAAGAGCAAAGGGGUCCAGACCAGGCUGGUGAAACCCACAGAAACUGCUGACCUGAACAAUGGGGGUCUCUUGUUCCCCACACUGAUAGCUGGGAUACCAAUAUAGGACUGAUCCAGACCCCAGGAAAAUGGGUUUCAAUGAGGAGACCUAGGAAAUCUAUGGGACCUCCUGUACUUAUCCCUAGCAUAGCUGUGGACUUUGGGAGCCCAAUCCACAUAGAGGGAUACUCCUUGAGCCAAGACACACAGGGGUGGGCCUAGGCCCUAUCCCAAAGGAUACAAUAGACUCUGAUGACCCCCUACGGAAGGCCUCACCUUCCUGGGGAGCAGAAAGGAUUUGUGAUAGCUAGGAUUUAGUUGGGGGAGGGAAGGUAGGGGGAGCUGAGGGAGUGGGAACUGGGAUUGACAUGUAAAACAAACUUGUUUAUAAUUCAAAUAAAAGAUGGAGAAAAACAAAGAUUGUCACUAAGACACAUUAUUGGGCAGACAAUGGCUAUUUAGGGAAUUAAAUGUUGCUAGAGAUAAGGUAAUUAGCCCCUGGAAAUGAAACACUCUGACCUCUCUAUAAAAGGUGAUACAAAAGGAUACAUUACCAUUAAGCCCCAAAUGGUUUCUUAAGAGUGUCUUUUGUUUGAAUCUGAAGGCUGAGAGCUCACAUCUUGAACUUCAGGCAUGAAGCAGAAAGAGUACAAACUGGAAAUGACAUGAGCAUUUUACUCUCAAAGUCAACCCCUGGUGACUUGCUUCCUCCAGCAAGAUCGCACAUCUUAUACCUACCCAAACAUUGCCAACAGAGGAACCUAUGAAUGGUAGUCAUUUAAACCACCACAGUGACUAACACAAACAAUUUCAUAGGCUGCACUGGCAAAAUGACAUAUCUACAAAGCACAUCAAAGUGUUGCAUCUAAACUUCUGGUAAGAUUAACUCAAACCUGAUGAUCCAGGGAAAAGUAAGAGAUGGAAAAAAUGAAAAGCCAAAUAAUGGAUUCUACAGUAAUCACUUAUAUACUAAUUCCUGCAUACCUGGUGAAAACUGAUGUAUCUGUUCUCCUGGAAAACACCCAGACAGGAGAACCUUCAAUCAGGUAUUCAGUACUUGUUUAAUAUUGAUGGAAGCAGAGGCAGACACCCACAGAUAUACACUGAACAGAACUCUGGAAACCAGUUGCAGAGAGGGAGGAAUGAAGAUCAAAGGGGACAGUACCAGGUUGGUGAAACCCACAGAAACAGCUGGCCUGAACAAGGGGGAGCACAUGGACCCCUGACUGCUUUCUGGGAGGCCAGCACAGGACUGAUCCAGACCCCUGAAAAUGGAUGUCAAUGAGGAGGCCUCCAAACUCUAGGGAGACCCUGGUAGUGGAUUAGUAUUUUUCCCUGGUGUAAGAAGGGACUUUGAGAGCCCAUCCCACUUGAAGGGAUGCAGUCUUGCCCUGGACACUUAGGGGAGGGCUUAGGCCCAGCCCAGAAUGAUGUGGUGGACUUUGGGGACCCCCUAUGAGGGCCCUACCCUGCCUGGGGAG
ensembl:lncRNA